CCUACGGGAGGCAGCAGUGGGGAAUAUUGGACAAUGGGGGCAACCCUGAUCCAGCGACGCCGCGUGUGUGAAGAAGGCCUGCGGGUUGUAAAGCACUUUUAGUGGGGAUGAAAAGUCCAGAGUUAAUACCCCUGGAUCUUGACCUAACCCAAAGAAAAAGCACCGGCUAACUCUGUGCCAGCAGCCGCGGUAAUACAGAGGGUGCAAGCGUUAAUCGGAAUUACUGGGCGUAAAGCGUGCGUAGGCGGUUGUUUAAGUCGGAUGUGAAAUCCCCGGGCUCAACCUGGGAAUUGCAUUCGAUACUGGACAGCUAGAGUUCGGCAGAGGGAAGUGGAAUUUCCGGUGUAGCGGUGAAAUGCGUAGAUAUCGGAAGGAACAUCAGUGGCGAAAGCGACUUCCUGGACCAGAACUGACGCUCAGGCACGAAAGCGUGGGGAGCAAACAGGAUUAGAUACCCCAGUAGUC
rnacentral:rRNA from 1 species